CCUACGGGUGGCAGCAGUGAGGAAUAUUGGUCAAUGGUCGGGAGACUGAACCAGCCAAGCCGCGUGAGGCAAGAAGGUACAGAGUAUCGUAAACCUCUUUUGUCAGGGAACAAAGACUGGGACGCGUCCCCGGAUGAGUGUACCUGAAGAAAAAGCAUCGGCUAACUCCGUGCCAGCAGCCGCGGUAAUACGGAGGAUGCGAGCGUUAUCCGGAUUUAUUGGGUUUAAAGGGUGCGCAGGCGGCCUGUUAAGUCAGCGGUCAAAGCCCGGGGCUCAACCCCGGCCCGCCGUUGAAACUGGCGGGCUGGAGUUGGAGAGAAGUAUGCGGAAUGCGCGGUGUAGCGGUGAAAUGCGUAGAUAUCGCGAAGAACUCCGAUUGCGAAGGCAGCGUACCGGCUCCACACUGACGCUGAGGCACGAAAGCGUGGGGAUCGAACAGGAUUAGAUACCCCAGUAGUC
rnacentral:rRNA from 1 species